rnacentral:rRNA from 2 species
CAAAACUUUCAACAACGGAUCUCUUGGUUCUGGCAUCGAUGAAGAACGCAGCGAAAUGCGAUAAGUAAUGUGAAUUGCAGAAUUCAGUGAAUCAUCGAAUCUUUGAACGCACAUUGCGCCCGCCAGUAUUCUGGCGGGCAUGCCUGUUCGAGCGUCAUU